rnacentral:rRNA from 1 species
GAUGAACGCUGGCGGCGUGCCUAAUACAUGCAAGUCGAGCGAACAGACGAGGAGCUUGCUCCUCUGACGUUAGCGGCGGACGGGUGAGUAACACGUGGAUAACCUACCUAUAAUACUGGGAUAACUUCGGGAAACCGGAGCUAAUACCGGAUAAUAUAUUGAACCGCAUGGUUCAAUAGUGAAAGACGGUUUUGCUGUCACUUAUAGAUGGAUCCGCGCCGCAUUAGCUAGUUGGUAAGGUAACGGCUUACCAAGGCAACGAUGCGUAGCCGACCUGAGAGGGGGAUCGGCGACACUGGAACUGAGACACGGUCCAGACUCCUAAGGGAGGCAGCAGUAGGGAAUCUUCCGCAAUGGGCGAAAGCUUGACGGAGCAACGCCGCGUGAGUGAUGAAGGUCUUCGGAUCGUAAAACUCUGUUAUUAGGGAAGAACAAAUGUGUAAGUAACUAUGCACGUCUUGACGGUACCUAAUAAGAAAGCCACGGCUAACUACGUG